rnacentral:rRNA from 1 species
AUUGAACGCUAGCGGCAGGCCUAACACAUGCAAGUCGAGCGGAUGAGUGGAGCUUGCUCCAUGAUUCAGCGGCGGACGGGUGAGUAAUGCCUAGGAAUCCGCCUGGUAGUGGGGGACAACGUUUCGAAAGGAACGCUAAUACCGCAUACGUCCUACGGGAGAAAGCAGGGGACCUUCGGGCCUUGCGCUAUCAGAUGAGCCUAGGUCGGAUUAGCUAGUAGGUGAGGUAAAGGCUCACCUAGGCGACGAUCCGUAACUGGUCUGAGAGGAUGAUCAGUCACACUGGAACUGAGACACGGUCCAGACUCCUACGGGAGGCAGCAGUGGGGAAUAUUGGACAAUGGGCGAAAGCCUGAUCCAGCCAUGCCGCGUGUGUGAAGAAGGUCUUCGGAUUGUAAAGCACUUUAAGUUGGGAGGAAGGGCAGUAAGCUAAUACCUUGCUGUUUUGACGUUACCAACAGAAUAAGCACCGGCUAACUUCGUGCCAGCCGCCGCGGUAAAAC